GCCUGGCCCUAAAUCUUGAUACUCGAUAUUACCUGAGUGUCCGCCCGAGAACUACGAGCACAAACGCUUAAAACUCUAAGGACUUGGCGGUGCCCCAAACCCACCUAGAGGAGCCUGUUCUGUAAUCGAUGAUCCACGAUAUUACCUGACCAUUUCUUGCUCAUAAUCAGCCUAUAUACCGCCGUCGCCAGCUCACCUUUCCUGACAGCCCAACAGUGAGCGCAAUAGCCCCACCACGCUAAUAAGACAGGUCAAGGUAUAGCCUAUGGAAUGGAAGCAAUGGGCUACAUUUUCUAGACUAGAACAUACGGCAAAGGGACAUGAAACUGUCCUUGGAAGGCGGAUUUAGCAGUAAAGUGGGACAAUCGAGCCCUCUUUAAGCCGGCCCUGGGGCACGU
rnacentral:rRNA from 1 species